rnacentral:rRNA from 1 species
UGGGGAAUUUUGGACAAUGGGGGAAACCCUGAUCCAGCCAUCCCGCGUGUGCGAUGAAGGCCUUCGGGUUGUAAAGCACUUUUGGCAGGAAAGAAACGUCGUGGGUUAAUACCCCGCGAAACUGACGGUACCUGCAGAAUAAGCACCGGCUAACUACGUGCCAGCAGCCGCGGUAAUACGUAGGGUGCAAGCGUUAAUCGGAAUUACUGGGCGUAAAGCGUGCGCAGGCGGUUCGGAAAGAAAGAUGUGAAAUCCCAGAGCUUAACUUUGGAACUGCAUUUUUAACUACCGGGCUAGAGUGUUGUCAGAGGGAGGUGGAAUUCCGCGUGUAGCAGUGAAAUGCGUAGAUAUGCGGAGGAACACCGAUGGCGAAGGCAGCCUCCUGGGAUAACACUGACGCUCAUGCACGAAAGCGUGGGGAGCAAACAGGAUUAGAUACCCUGG